UACGGGGGGAGCAAGCGUUGUUCGGAUUUACUGGGCGUAAAGGGCGCGUAGGCGGCCACCGCAAGUCGACUGUGAAAUCUCCGGGCUUAACCCGGAAAGGUCAGCCGAUACUGCGGGGGUAGAGUGCAGAAGGGGCAACUGGAAUUCUCGGUGUAGCGGUGAAAUGCGUAGAUAUCGAGAGGAACACCUGCGGCGAAGGCGGGUUGCGGGGCUGACACUGACGCUGAGGCGCGAAAGCUAGGGGAGCGAACGGG
rnacentral:rRNA from 1 species